AUCCUGUUGAAGAGUCCCAAACUAGGACGAAACAGCUGUCUAGUAC
rnacentral:hammerhead_ribozyme from 1 species